CCCGGAAGGGGCGAGGCCAGCGGCGGGGCGGGGCUUAUGGAGAUCCUCUGACUCCAGGCCCUGUCCCCUGAGCUCUGCCCUCGGAUGUCCGACCGCCCAGAGCCUGCAUGCGCCGUGGGGCGCCCCAGGACCAGGAGCUGUAUUCAGGGCGGACCAGCGGAGCGGACCCCGACAGCUGCUGACCCUCUAUAACCCCACAGGAACUGCGCUUCGCUUCCGAGUCCUGUGCACAGCACCUGCCAAAUACACGGUGUUUGACGCAGAGGGAUAUGUGAAGCCCCAGUCUUGCAUUGACAUUGUGAUUCGCCAUGUGGCACCCAUUCCCAGCCACUAUGAUGUCCAGGACCGCUUCCGCAUUGAGCUGUCUGAGGAAGGAGCUGAGGGCCGAGUGGUGGGACGCAAGGACAUUACCUCCAUUCUGAGAGCCCCAGCGUACCCCCUUGAGCUUCAGGGACAGCCAGAUCCAGCGCCUCGCCCAGGGCCUCCUGCUGGGACACCACCACCCACGGCCAGACACUUCCAGGA
rnacentral:lncRNA from 1 species